CUUUUAUUUCCAUAUUUCUUAUUGCACUGGCUAGAACUUUCAGCACUAUAUUGAAUAAUUAUAGUGGGAGAUGACAACUUUGCCCUAUACCCAUCUUAGAAGAAAAUCAUUUAGUCUUUCACAAUUAAGCAAAGGGUAGGGUGUUCGUAUUUCUGUAUAUUACAUGCUCUUUUAUCGAGUUGGGUCCACAUGGGAAGCUUAUUCAAAACAAGCAGAGAAAAAUGACUAUGUGAGUACAGUCUCCUGUAUGAACACAAAUUAUUGUCUUUGGCUUUCAUCUCACCUUGGGUUCACAUUUGUGACUUCCCCAGAGGGAAUAUGUACAAUUUUCCAAUACCUUCUUAAUGUUCCUGGUAGAGUCAUAAAAGGUAUCAUUUAGAAGGACAUAUUUAAGCUGGGUCAAGCUCAGCAACGGUAGGUCAAAAAUCAUGAAGUAAUUGGGAAUUUUGUGGGGAUGAUGAGAAGUUCAGUGUCAUGGGGUGAUUCCAUGAAUUGUAAAUUAAAGACAGGAUGGUGAUAGGGCAAAAGUUUAUGAUAAAGAGUUUAUCUGAGUUUAGAUUAUAAGCAUUGCUGUUCUCCACAUUAAUGGGAUUUGAUAUUAACCUGGAGAUAAUGAAAAUAAUUAAAAGAUAAAGCAUUACCCAUGCUGGUGGCUAUGUGAAUAGCGGCUCAGUUGAGAAAGGAUCACCAGAAAAAAUCUUAGGAGGCUACAAUCACUGCAAGAUUGUAAAUGUGAGAUGAUGAAGGACAAUGAAGGCCUAAUAAAUAGGGACCAAGAUAUAAAUAAGUAAGGACUGAGAAAUUUGAAAACUCUAACUGAGGUAGAUCAGACAGAUUUGAUAAUAGACAGUGCAAAAUAGCAGGGAGUGAAUGGAGAGUCUAAAAUGGUGCCAAAUUUUCCAGUUUAGCAGACAGGGGUGUGAUCACUCUAUUACAAAAGAAAUUAUAAAUUGAAGCAAAUGCUUACCUGUGAGAAAAAAAGUUUGGCUUUUGAUUUCAGUUUGAAGUCCCUAUAUAUUUAAGUAAAUAGGAUCACUUGAUCCUAUAUGGAAAUAAAAUUUGGAAAGAAAAUUUGAAGCUCAAGAUAUUAAUCAUAACAAUGGGAAUAGAUGACAUCAUCCGUGGAGAAAAAAU
rnacentral:lncRNA from 10 species